rnacentral:rRNA from 2 species
GGGGAUUAGUGGCGAACGGGUGAGUAACACGUGGGCAAUCUGCCCUGCACUCUGGGACAAGCCCUGGAAACGGGGUCUAAUACCGGAUACUCACUGCCUUGGGCAUCCUUGGNGGUGGAAAGCUCCGGCGGUGCAGGAUGAGCCCGCGGCCUAUCAGCUAGUUGGUGAGGUAAUGGCUCACCAAGGCGACGACGGGUAGCCGGCCUGAGAGGGCGACCGGCCACACUGGGACUGAGACACGNNCCANANUUAUACGGGAGGCAGCAGUGGGGAAUAUUGCACAAUGGGCGAAAGCCUGAUGCAGCGACGCCGCGUGAGGGAUGACGGCCUUCGGGUUGUAAACCUCUUUCAGCAGGGAAGAAGCGAGAGUGACGGUACCUGCAGAAGAAGCGCCGGCUAACUACGUGCCAGCAGCCGCGGUAAUACGUAGGGCGCAAGCGUUGUCCGGAAUUAUUGGGCGUAAAGAGCUCGUAGGCGGCUUGUCACGUCGGUUGUGAAAGCCCGGGGCUUAACCCCGGGUCUGCAGUCGAUACGGGCAGGCUAGAGUUCGGUAGGGGAGAUCGGAAUUCCUGGUGUAGCGGUGAAAUGCGCAGAUAUCAGGAGGAACACCGGUGGCGAAGGCGGAUCUCUGGGCCGAUACUGACGCUGAGGAGCGAAA